UGUCUGCCCACCUGCCUGCCUCU
rnacentral:miRNA from 1 species